GCAAGUCGAACGCAUAGGAUAGUGCUUGCAUUAUCCAAUGAGUGGCGCACGGGUGAGUAACACGUAGAAAUCUACCUAGUAGUGGGGGAUAGCUUUUGGAAACGAAAGGUAAAACCGCAUAAUCCCUGAGGGGCAAAUAUUUAUAGCUAUUAGAUGAGUCUGCGUCUGAUUAGAUAGUUGGUAGGGUAAGAGCCUACCAAGUCAACGAUCAGUAGCUGGUUUGAGAGGAUGAUC
rnacentral:rRNA from 1 species